rnacentral:rRNA from 1 species
UACGGAGGGUGCGAGCGUUUGUCCGGAAUCACUGGGCGUAAAGCGCACGUAGGCGGAUAUGUCAGUCAGGGGUGAAAUCCCGGGGCUUAACCUCGGAACUGCCUUUGAUACAGCAUAUCUUGAGUCCGAUAGAGGUGGGUGGAAUUCCUAGUGUAGAGGUGAAAUUCGUAGAUAUUAGGAAGAACACCGGUGGCGAAGGCAGCACUCUGGGACGGUACUGACGCUGAGACGCGAAAGCGUGGGGAGCAAACAGG